AGAGUUUGAUCCUGGCUCAGGACGAACGCUGGCGGCGCGCCUAACACAUGCAAGUCGAACGAGCGAGAGAGAGCUUGCUUUCUCAAGCGAGUGGCGAACGGGUGAGUAACGCGUGAGGAACCUGCCUCAAAGAGGGGGACAACAGUUGGAAACGACUGCUAAUACCGCAUAAGCCCACGACCCGGCAUCGGGUAGAGGGAAAAGGAGCAAUCCGCUUUGAGAUGGCCUCGCGUCCGAUUAGCUAGUUGGUGAGGUAACGGCCCACCAAGGCGACGAUCGGUAGCCGGACUGAGAGGUUGAACGGCCACAUUGGGACUGAGACACGGCCCAGACUCCUACGGGAGGCAGCAGUGGGGAAUAUUGCACAAUGGGGGAAACCCUGAUGCAGCGACGCCGCGUGGAGGAAGAAGGUCUUCGGAUUGUAAACUCCUGUUGUUGAGGAAGAUAAUGACGGUACUCAACAAGGAAGUGACGGCUAACUACGUGCCAGCAGCCGCGGUAAAACGUAGGUCACAAGCGUUGUCCGGAAUUACUGGGUGUAAAGGGAGCGCAGGCGGGAAGACAAGUUGGAAGUGAAAUCCAUGGGCUCAACCCAUAAACUGCUUUCAAAACUGUUUUUCUUGAGUAGUGCAGAGGUAGGCGGAAUUCCCGGUGUAGCGGUGGAAUGCGUAGAUAUCGGGAGGAACACCAGUGGCGAAGGCGGCCUACUGGGCACCAACUGACGCUGAGGCUCGAAAGUGUGGGUAGCAAACAGGAUUAGAUACCCUGGUAGUCCACACCGUAAACGAUGAUUACUAGGUGUUGGAGGAUUGACCCCUUCAGUGCCGCAGUUAACACAAUAAGUAAUCCACCUGGGGAGUACGACCGCAAGGUUGAAACUCAAAGGAAUUGACGGGGGCCCGCACAAGCAGUGGAGU
rnacentral:rRNA from 1 species